AAAAAAGUGACUGUUCAUUUGCAUUGUUUAAAGUGAAGAAAGAACAAAAAAUGUUUAAGACAGCAAAAGAAGACUAUCAAAUUUAAAUAGAUUAUACCACUUUGUAUGAAAGAGCAUUAUUAUGCAGUGAACUGGAAUUUAUUAUGAAGCAAAAAAGGGACUUCAAAGUGCAGAGGACUGGAUUGAAUUAUGACACAAGAAAGGAACAUCAAAGUACAGUGAAUGGAAUUUUAUUAUGAAGAAAGGAAGAGACAUCAAAGUGCAAUGGACUGGAGACUACUUGGGAGAAGAUGUUGCUUCAAAAGAUUGGCAGAGUUGCUUUUUGCUACAGGUGCAAAGCCCUGACAGAUUCCUUUACUAUUGAUUGAGACAUGCUAACGUUGCCUUCGAGGACAAUCCGGUGUCUAUAUGUCCACUAGAUUGUGGCGUUUUUUGGAGCGACUGGUCUGCAGCAUUGUGCCGGCAAUGUUAAGAUGAUGGUUGUUCCUCUGUGUUUUGAGAGAUGGAAUCAGGGAUUGUGAGGAUUUGCAUUUCUUCCAUAUUAACAGACUGCCAAUGACAACUGACUUUAUGUCCCGUUCAUAUGUACAGUCAGUGAUUGAUUUGACUUUAUUAUGAAGCAGUAGAGGAAUAUCAAAGUGCGAUUAAUUGGAUUUAACAUAAAGCAAGGAAGGAUUUCAGGACAGAAAGAAACAACAUCCAAUUCUAAUUGACUGGAUUUUCUCAAGAAGAAAAGAAAGAACAUGAGGAAGGAACAUAAAAGUGCAAUUAAUUCAAUUUUAUUAUGGAGCAAAGAAGAAACAUCUAAAGUGCAAUCAACUUGGAUUUUAUUUAAGUGCAGUGGACAGACUGGAUUUUCUCAGAGUGAAGAGAGGAUAUCUUAAUGUUAAUGUGACCCAUAAAAGUGACUGUAUUCAUUUGUAGUGUUAAAAGUGAAAAAAUAACAUAAAAAUGUUAAUCAUUGGAA
rnacentral:lncRNA from 1 species